GGGUCUCAGGGAACCGAGAUUAUUGGACCCAACCUUUACUAACACUGGAACAUCUCAAUGUUGGAAAAUACGUUUUCAAGUUGAGAGUGACUGAUGGUGAUGGAGCAGUAGGUGUGGCCUAUGCUAAUGUUACUGUACAGGCGGAACCUGAUUACCCACCAACAGCUGAUGCUGGAGAGUCAGUAUUGAUA